rnacentral:SRP_RNA from 1 species
GCCGGCACCGGUGGCGUGGUGCUGUAAUCCAGCUGCUUGGAGGUCUGAGCUGCUGGACGGCGUGAGGUUGGGAGUUCUGUCCUCUGUUUCUCUAUGUCGAUCAGGCGUCCGCGCUAAGCACGGUGUCGAUAUGGUUGAACUGGGGGAGCCCGGAUCCACCAGGUCGUCUAAGGAGGAGCGAACCGGCCCAGGGCGGAAACGCAGCAGGCAAAAGCUCCCGCACGGUGCAGUAGUGGGACCGCGCCUGUGAAUAGGAGGCAGUGGGCAGCCCAUCCAAGAUAGUCGAACGCAGUUCUUU